UCUGACAUGUAUUUUGGCCAAAUUAUGCCCCCUUUUGGACUUAGAAAAUCCUGGUUAAAGUUUUACAUGCAAGUAACUAUCUCCAAAACUACUACAGAUAUUAAAUUGAAACUUCACAUGUGUCUUCGGGGUUAUAAAACUAGUUGAUAGCACCAAGUCCCAUAACUCUGACCUGUAUUUUGGGCAAAUUAUGCCCCCUUUUGGACUUAGAAAAUCCAGGUUAAAGUUUUGCGUGCAAGUACAUACAGCUAUUACCAAAAGGCAUAUAGCUUUGAAACUUAUUUAUUCUUUUUCUAGGUCAAUAUCCAUCCUCACUGGGUCAAGUUCCAUAACUCUUAACAUGUAUUUUGAGCAAAUUAUGCCCCCUUUUGGACUUACAAAAUUCUGGUUAAAGUUUUACAUGCAAGUUACUAUCCCUAAAACUAAUGCAGAUAUUGAAUUGAAACUUAACAUGUUUCUUCGGUGUUAUAAAACUAGUUGAUAACAUCAAGUCCCAUAACUCUGAUAUGUAUUUUGGUCAAAUUAUGUCCCCUUUCGAACUUAAAACUCUUUUGAUAUUUAACAUUUUGGGUAAUAAUUUCCUGCUUCUGUGACAAUAUUUUGAAUAGUCGAGCUUGGCUGUCUUAUGGACAGCUCUUGUUAUAUUUACAUUGAUUUACAGUGAGAGUGGAUACAGUUACACUGGCGCCGAUAUAUUGAAAAUUUGAGAAAACAAAAACAUAUUCUCCAACGAGUUUUUCAGCUCGGGGAAUGAGAGAAUAGAUUCACCUUUGUGUCGCUUUUCAGAUUGUAUUUUAAUUCCUUUCCGGUACUUUAGUUUCUUUGAACUUCUCUGUUACUCACUAAGCCUAUAUUGAAUUUUUAAAAUUAAGAAAUCCGUGAUUUUACUUGCAGUCAUGACUGAUUAAUGGAAUUUUUUUACUUUUAUAUAGAAUAUGGAGCGACACAGUGGUUGAGAGGGCUAAGACGCUUUCCUACGGAGGUGAAGGCCCCUGGUUCGAAUCCUGGCUACUCCCAUUGCGGUGUGUCCUUGGGCAAGGAACUUUAUCACGAUUGCCUCAGUCGACCCAGCUGUAAAUGGGUACCAGCAAAUUGCUAGGGGGAAAGGCAUAUUGGUCUAAUAUACAGAGUAUUGUUGUAUUGCUCCAAUGUGCUUGUUGACAGACUGAAACCACUUGCUUGCAGCUCAUAAGGUUUACUUCUUGAGAGCAGGCAGCUACAAAAUGGAAGGUCAACAAAUCCAGUAUACUUGAAAAGCAAGAAAGAAACACCAGAAAAUAUGAAAAGACAGAAGAACAAGGGAACUUGAACAAAAAAAAAACUUUUAAGGAUAGGAAUUCAGGAUUUACUUGGAAGCUAAAUUUAUUUUGAGAACAACAGUGAUUGACUAAGCUCUGUUACUUUAAUGAUAAUGUAUUAACACACUGGUUUUGUUAUUCUCAUAAAACAUACUAAAGUUUCAUUAAUCUUAUUUUAGAUAAUUGUUUUCUGGUUUAUUUUGUAAAGGAUGUCUACUACAUUGUAAUUAAGAUAGUUAUAUUUAAGUAAUAUUUUCCAUGAAAUUUUAAAGAGAAUGUUCUGUUAUACCCCCAUGAAGUAAGCUUGUCUGUCUUUCAGUCAGUAGGUUUUCAUGGCUUCCGGAUGAUAACUCAUGAAAAGCUUGACCGAUUUAAAUAUUUUUUGGUACAUAGGUACAGGUCAAGUUCGACUUUGGGGUCAGUAGGUCAAAGGUCAAGACAACUUGCAAACGCUUUGGCCUAGGAUCAUAGCUUUUGUAACACAGGUGUAACAUGAUAAAAAACAGGUUGUUUGAAUUUGAGGUCAAUAGAUCAAAGGUCAAGGUCACAGUGACCUUGAACAGUUGAACCGUUUCCGAAUGAUAAGUUGAGAACUUGAGCCUAGGAUGAUAAAGUUUGGUACACAGGUGUCACAUCAUGAAAUACAGGUCAAGUUUUACUUUGAGGUCAGUAGGUCAAGGUCACAAUAAGGCAAGACAGUGAAAUGUUUUUCAGAUUAUAACUUGAGAAUGCUUGAGCCUAGGAUCAUGAAAAUUGUUAGGGAGGUUGAUUAUGACCAGCAGGUGACCCCUAAUGAUGUUGAGGUCAGUAGGUCAAGGUCACACUGACCCAGUGCUUUAAAAUAAUGCACAGAGGGGCACCUGGGGUCUUCCUCCACCAUUAAAGCUGGAAAGUCGCCAUAUGACCUAUCCUGUGUCGGUGUGACGUUAAAUCCAACAAAAUAAAUAACGGUUCUUUAAAACGGUUUUUGGACAAUAACUUCAGGAUGCUUGGGAUGAGGAUCACAAAAUUUACUACAAGGUUGGUCUUGACCAGCAGAUUACCCGUAUUGAUUUUGAGUUCCAAAAGUCAGGAUGACCCGGAACAUUUAAACCUUUUCCAUACAACAACUUGAGAACACUUGGGCGGAGGAUCAUGAAACUAUGGAGAUUGAUCUGGACCAGCAGAUGAUCUGUAUUGAAUUUGAGGUCAUUAGGUCAUACCUCAAGAAAAUGCUGCUUUGACAUUGGCUUAGUUCUGUGAUAAGGCCAUAUUGUGGGGGUAUAAUUCGUCACUCCUGUGACAACUCUAGUGUUUAGCUCACCUGAGCACAAAGUGCUCAAGGUGAGCUUUUGUGAUCGCCCUGUGUCCGAUGUCGGUCCGUCCGUCCGUCAACAACAAUUUGACUGUUAACACUCUAGAGGUCACAAUUUUUACCUAAUCUUUAUGAAACUUGGUCAGAAUGUUACCCUCAAUAAAGUCUUGGACGCAUUUGAUAUUGGGUCAUCUGGGAUCAAAAACUAGGUCACCAGGUCAAAUCAAAGGAAAAGUUUGUUAACACUGUAGAGGUCACAUUUAGGACUAUAUCAUGAAACUUGGUCAAAAUGUUAAUCUUGAUGAUCUCAAGGUCCAAUCUGAAUCUGGGUUAUGUAGGGUCAAAAACUAGGUCACUAGGUCAAAUCAAAGGAAAAGCUAGUUUACACUGUAGAAGCUACAUUUAUGACCAUAUCUUAAUGAAACUUGGUCAAAAUGUUAAUCUUGUUGAUCCGUAGAUCAGAUUCAAAUCUGGGUCAAGUGGGGUCAAAAACUAGGUCACCAGGUUAAAACAAGGGAAAAGCUUGUUAACACUCUAGAGGUCACAAUUUUGGCCCAAUCUUAAUGAAACUUGGUCAGAAUGUUACCCUCAAUAAAAUAUUGGACGAGUUUGAUAUUGGGUCAUCUAGGUUCAAAAACUAGGUCACCAGGUCAAAUCAAAGGAAAAGCUUGUUAACACUGUAGUGGCCACAUUUAUGACCAUAUCUUAAUGAAACUUGGUCAGAAUGUUAAUCUUGAUGAUCUGUAGGCCAAGUUUAAAUCUGGGUCAGGUGGGAUUAAAAACUAGGUCACUAGGUCAAAUCAAAGGAAAAGCUUUUUAACACUCUAGAGGCCACAUUUAUGACUGUAUCUUCAUGAAACUUAAUCAGAAUGUUAAUCUUGAUGAUCUUUAGGUCAAGUUUGAAUCUGGGUCAUGUGGGGUCAAAAACUAGGUCACCGGGUCAAAUCAAAGGAAAAGCUAGUUAACUCUUUAGUUGCUACAUUUAUGAUCAUAUCUUAAUGAAACUUGGUCAGAAUGUUGAUCUUGAUGAUCUUUAGGUCAAUAUGUUAGGUGAGCGAUACAGGGCCUUCAUGGCCCUCUUGUUUAUUUGUUCUUGUUGCAAGAGAAAUGGUACAUUUUAGAAUACAGAUUACAGCAAGUCACAUUUUCUUUAUUUUGACAAUACUUAUUUCAAAGCCUGACAAAAGCAUCCAGUACUGUUAUUAAAAGCUGUUAUUCACAGUUCAGCUCUAUUUCAUGUAUGGAUAAAACAAAUUAUGUGAUCUGUGGUCAUUAUAAAUGUGUAUACAGAUAAAACUUAAACAUGUGAACAGUUUAUUCAAUAAAUAAAGUGUAAUGCAA